GGCUGCUCCAAAAAUGGCAUAUUGGAACCCCAGCCAAAACACGCUCAUUGGCAAAGGCUCAACAGAGUCUACCAUCUUGUGUUCAAUUGCUACAGAUUUGCGGUGCGUUUCCACAAUGCCAGAAACUGCCAUGGAGAUAGCUGAGAGCACUAGCCCUACUCCAAUGCGUUGGAGGUAUCGAAUUCCAUUGGGGAUUCCUGUUAUCUUCCGAGCUAAUGGAACAAAAAUGCGAUCAUAUAUGGGGAUCAGAACAAACAUGAAAAGCAGG
rnacentral:misc_RNA from 1 species